rnacentral:rRNA from 1 species
AACGAACGCUGGCGGCAUGCCUAACACAUGCAAGUCGAACGAAGCCUUCGGGCUUAGUGGCGCACGGGUGCGUAACGCGUGGGAAUCUGCCCCUUGCUUCGGAACAACAGCUAGAAAUGACUGCUAAUACCGGAUGAAGUCUUCGGACCAAAGAUUUAUCGGCAAGGGAUGAGCCCGCGGAGGUUUAGGUAGUUGGGGGGGUAAAGGCCUACCAAGCCGACGAUCCUUAGCUGGUCGGAGAGGAUGAGCAGCCACGCUGGGACUGAGACACGGCCCAGACUCCUACGGGAGGCAGCAGUGGGGAAUAUUGGACGAUGGACGCAAGUCUGAUCCAGCAAUGCCGCGUGAGUGAUGAAGGCCUUAGGGUUGUAAAGCUCUUUUACCAGGGAUGAUAAUGACAGUACCUGGAGAAUAAGCUCCGGCUAACUCCGUG